rnacentral:rRNA from 1 species
UGGGGAAUUUUGGACAAUGGGGGAAACCCUGAUCCAGCCAUCCCGCGUGUGCGAUGAAGGCCUUCGGGUUGUAAAGCCCUUUUGGCAGGGAAGAAACGUCAAGGGUUAAUACCCCGUGAAACUGACGGUACCUGCAGAAUAAGCACCGGCUAACUACGUGCCAGCAGCCGCGGUAAUACGUAGGGUGCAAGCGUUAAUCGGAAUUACUGGGCGUAAAGCGUGCGCAGGCGGUUCGGAAAGAAAGAUGUGAAAUCCCAGAGCUCAACUUUGGAACUGCAUUUUUAACUACCGGGCUAGAGUGUGUCAGAGGGAGGUGGAAUUCCGCGUGUAGCAGUGAAAUGCGUAGAUAUGCGGAGGAACACCGAUGGCGAAGGCAGCCUCCUGGGAUAACACUGACGCUCAUGCACGAAAGCGUGGGGAGCAAACAGG